rnacentral:piRNA from 1 species
AGCUUUACCAUGCCAGCAGACUUACCU